rnacentral:lncRNA from 1 species
AUAUAUAUAUGAGUAGAGCUACUAUGCUAUCGGAAGUAUAGAGAAUCUGGUGCUUCCGAUUUUUUGACCCUUAGAUCAACUCCUUUAAUCAUUUCUAACCUUUAGAUUAAUACUAUUAAUCUGUGGGAACCACUCAACCCUUGGGGGACCGCAAUCAUCCCAACGUAUAAUUUUUGAUCCAAUGGUCAAAAAAGUUGGAACUAUCAGAUCCUCUAUGCUUCCGAUAGCAUAGUAGCUCUACACUAUAUAUAUAUAGAGAGAGAGAGGGGAGAGAGAGCAGGGCUGCUGUGCUCUCAGGAGCACGGAGGCCUCCGUGCUCCUGAGUCGUUUUCGAUGAUGAAAUUUUCGAAUCGAAGAUCGGCUCCGUUAGACUUGAUCUAGCGCAUUUGAAGUUUCUAGAAAAUAAUUUUUGCGAUUUUUUGAUAUCAUUUACCUAGUGAUCGAAACAAUUCAAAAUUUAUAAUUUUUAAAGGUUGAUAUCUGCCGUUUUCAAAUUUAACGGUGUAGAAGUAUUCAAAUCAGAUGAAAUUUUGAGAUAAAAUUCUUUAUACUAUCUACAAUAAGAUCAAUAUUUCUGAUCGAAAAUUUUAGUGUUAUAUCACCACUUUUUUAGGAUUUUUAUUUUCAGUCGUUAAAAAUUAUUGAUUUUGAAUCAUUUCAAUUACUAGGUAAAUGAUAUCGAAAAAUCGCAAAAAUUAUUUUCUAGAAACUUCAAAUACGCUAGAUAAAGCUUAACAGAGCUGAUCGUCGAUUUGGAAACUCAACCAUCGAAAACGGCUCAGGCCUCCGUGCUCCUGAGAGCAUAGCA